rnacentral:rRNA from 1 species
CACAUGCAAGUCGAGGGGCAGCAUAAUGGAUAGCAAUAUCUAUGGUGGCGACCGGCGCACGGGUGCGUAACGCGUAUGCAACCUACCUUUAACAGGGGGAUAACACUGAGAAAUUGGUACUAAUACCCCAUAAUAUCAUAGAAGGCAUCUUUUAUGGUUGAAAAUUCCGAUGGUUAGAGAUGGGCAUGCGUUGUAUUAGCUAGUUGGUGGGGUAACGGCUCACCAAGGCGACGAUACAUAGGGGGACUGAGAGGUUAACCCCCCACACUGGUACUGAGACACGGACCAGACUCCUACGGGAGGCAGCAGUGAGGAAUAUUGGUCAAUGGACGCAAGUCUGAACCAGCCAUGCCGCGUGCAGGAUGACGGCUCUAUGAGUUGUAAACUGCUUUUGUACGAGGGUAAACGCAGAUACGUGUAUCUGUCUGAAAGUAUCGUACGAAUAAGGAUCGGCUAACUCCGUGCCAGCAGCCGCGGUAAUACGGAGGAUUCAAGCGUUAUCCGGAUUUAUUGGGUUUAAAGGGUGCGUAGGCGGUUUGAUAAGUUAGAGGUGGAAUUUCGGGGCUCAACCCUGAACGUGCCUCUAAUACUGUUGAGCUAGAGAGUAGUUGCGGUAGGCGGAAUGUAUGGUGUAGCGGUGAAAUGCUUAGAGAUCAUACAGAACACCGAUUGCGAAGGCAGCUUACCAAACUAUAUCUGACGUUGAGGCACGAAAGCGUGGGGAGCAAACAGGAUUAGAUACCCUGGUAGUCCACGCAGUAAACGAUGAUAACUCGUUGUCGGCGAUACACAGUCGGUGACUAAGCGAAAGCGAUAAGUUAUCCACCUGGGGAGUACGUUCGCAAGAAUGAAACUCAAAGGAAUUGACGGGGGCCCGCACAAGCGGAGGAACAUGUGGUUUAAUUCGAUGAUACGCGAGGAACCUUACCCGGGC